rnacentral:pre_miRNA from 1 species
ACAUCUUGAUGCGGAUCAUGAGGGAGAUUGUCCGUGGUUAUGAGGGAAUGAUGGCUCGGAUCAUUCCCUCAUAACCACGGACAAUCUCCCUCAUGAUCCGCAUCA